rnacentral:lncRNA from 1 species
AUUUGUUCUAUUAUGGUUUGAUCAGCUCCAAUGUUUGUAGAUGAUUCUGGAUGACUCGUGCAUCACUUAAAAUACAUUAACUGUUACAAUGCGCAUCUAAUUCAAUAAACGUACUUCUCUUUAUUUAUCAUAUAAACCUUUUUCGUCCAGGUUUUUUGUCAAAUAGUGGUGGUUUGUAUAUAACCAGACACUUUUGAUGUUGAUAUGGAAUUCAAAACAAG